rnacentral:misc_RNA from 1 species
GGGGGAAAAAAAAGGUACAGAAAAUGCAAACAAAUCAAGUAUAGAUUUAUAGGGUUGUGAGAAAAUAAUAAGAUCUCUUCUCCAAGAAUCUCAAACGGUACCAAAUACAAGAACUGGAAGUUCCAGAAUCAAAUCAAACAAACAAAGAUAGCCAUUAAAUUGAUGCAGCUCAAUUAAAUCUCAGGCGCUUUGGUCAUGUUAUCCUCCAAUUCCAGAUCCAAAAAGAUUAUCAAAAUUCUUUC